GGGCGGCACGGCUCUCGGUAUAAAGGGGCGCGCACGGGCGGAGCGCGCAGAGCGCGGCGGGGUGGCGAGAGGCGCCGUUCCUGAGAGCCGCGGGCCCGCCACGGCCAUCCCUUCCCCGGAGGAGCGGUGAAGAGCACGGGGCUGCCGCCAUGGACGGCGACGCGGGAGCCGCAGCUGGAAACGAUUCGUUUUUAUAUUUUACUGUGCAAUAAAAGAUGAAACGUUUAAAAGAUAAA